GCGGGGAGCUUGUGGAACAGGCUGAGAGGAAGGUAUGACCUUCGACCCAUGAAACCUGAUAUGGAUAAUGCCAUCGCAGGGAAGUCUGGAAUU
rnacentral:ncRNA from 1 species